rnacentral:rRNA from 1 species
CGGUCCCUACGGGAGGCAGCAGUGAGGAAUAUUGGUCAAUGGACGGAAGUCUGAGCCAGCCAUGCCGCGUGCAGGAAGAUGGCUCUAUGAGUUGUAAACUGCUUUUGUACAAGGGUAAACCUGAAUACGUGUAUUCAGCUGACAGUACUGUACGAAUAAGGAUCGGCUAACUCCGCGCCAGCAGCCGCGGUAAUACGGAGGAUCCAAGCGUUAUCCGGAUUUAUUGGGUUUAAAGGGUGCGUAGGCGGAUUGAUAAGUUAGAGGUGAAAUGUCCGAGCUCAACUCGGGAACUGCCUCUAAUACUG